rnacentral:rRNA from 1 species
UUCCGACGGGACGCAGCAGUGGGGAAUAUUGCACAAUGGGGGAAACCCUGAUGCAGCGACGCCGCGUGAAGGAUGAAGUAUUUCGGUAUGUAAACUUCUAUCAGCAGGGAAGAAAAUGACGGUACCUGACUAAGAAGCCCCGGCUAACUACGUGCCAGCAGCCGCGGUAAUACGUAGGGGGCAAGCGUUAUCCGGAUUUACUGGGUGUAAAGGGAGCGUAGACGGCAGCGCAAGUCUGGAGUGAAAUCCCAUGGCUUAACCAUGGAACUGCUUUGGAAACCGUGCAGCUGGAGUGCAGGAGAGGU